GCAUAAAAAUAAAUUUUAGCAUAUUUAUUUUCCUGUCUACAUAUCAUAAAAAUAAAAAGCAUAAAAAAUAUUGAUCCUACUAAAAGAUAAAUGAGUAUAAGAAAGUUCUAUACUCCCAAAGCUUAGAGAUUCAUUACUAACGCUUAAUCAGUUCCACAUGCUUUGUUGUCUAUUUGAGCUUCACAGGUUCCAAAGGAUCAAGAAGAGCUAACAGGCAGAAGGACGCCCUGUCCCCUGUCGAAGUGUUGUCCACAUCAGACAAGUGUUGUUUCUAACAACAACCACCCACGACACUCCAGGAGGAUCAGUAUGCCUUCGCUGCCCGUCAACAACCUCAAAAGACUACGUCAACAUCUAGCUUGGGGGAGAGCAACCCCCACAUACCGAGCUAGUAUCUCUCGCUUGUUUAUUUAUUCCUAGUGUGUUAUGACAAGAUAAAAAGAUGAGUAAUCUUACAAACCCAAUAAAAAUUAAUUUAUCUUUUAUAAUAAUUUUUUGCUAGCUAAGGAGAGCUCUUAAUGAAUCUGUUAAAAUGAACCACUAGAACACACUCUUAUUUGGAGAUGAUGAAUAGUUGCUCUACCGUAAUUCCUUGCAAGUACCUAUUUCUUAACCUUGUACUCUCCUGAGUUUUAGACAUAAUUGUUUAGACUUAAGAUUUUGCUCUGAGCUUAAAACUUGUGGGUAGCGAAUGCUUGAUCUAAAUCUAGGUAGUUGUGAGCUAUUGUCAAUCUUGCUCCUAGAAAUGCUAGAGUUCUAGAGAAUUUAUUUUGAAAAUUUUAAAUUGCUACAUGAUGAGUUUCUUUAUGAUGAGAGUUCAAAAUUCCUACCACAGCCAAAUACUCAUGCUUACUAGAUUAGAAAAGCCUCUCAUUUAUAUUUCAUCCUAUAAGCAUUGAGGGUAGUUAAGCUGUGUUGACCCUAAGGGACUAAUCAUGCAGUUAAAGUCAAUAAUAUGUGCUCUCGAUCCAUUGAUCUUAGCUACUUCUAUCCUCAGAAGUAUGCAACCACUUACAUCCACUUUACCACAUUCACUAUGUGCUACUUCUGUUCCUAGAAGUACCACCCACAUAUACACACUACACUCUGUGUUGUUUCUAUCCUGGAGACACGCACCUAUGAUGCUCCUACCUUGGUAGUAUUCCACAUCCACUCAGAAAAUGUUCUACUCCUACACUGGGAGAAGACACCCAAAAAUAUUCAUUACCAUUAUAUCUUUUUCUACUUAUCCAAUAAAGCUCGACUUAUUUCAGUUGAAACUCCCUACUGCUAUCAGUGCAUUAAAAGGGUUGGCUGAUUUAAAAAAAGAAAGAAAGAGAAAAGAAAGAGGACAAAAGUCCCAAAAGAAAAGAGAAAAAAUAGCCAAGUCCUUGUUCUCAAAUUAGGAAGGUAUGUUCCCCAGGGAGCAAUUGUAGAAUUAGAUUUUCACCAUCGGUAUUAUCGCCAUCAUUCUUAUCAUUUAUUUCAUUCACUACACUCACAUGCACAUAUGACUUGAUUGUAUUAUUAGUUUCUCUAGAUCCAUGGUUUAACUAUGCAAUACAUGCUAGUUGGUUUAAAUUGUCUUUCCUACAUAUGAGCUCCACAUAAGCCAAUUGUAAGUAGGGUGAGAGAGAUAAGGCAAAUAUGCCUCAGUCACACAAAUACCACAUAUUCAGAGAGAAGGCAUCCCUUACACUUGCCUUGGAGAUGAUCCAAAAAUACCACAUAUGAGAGACUAGAAAGGGUCAUACAAGGAAUCUCUGAGUUUUAUUUGAAAAUCUUGCAAAAACUCUAGACUAAUAGUUGAUCAAAGAGCGAGAAGCAGAGUGCUUGACUUAAACGUUCAGUCUUUCAACUGCCCAAGACCUAAGUGAUAGCUAUAAGCCCCAUGGUGAAAGGUUGUGAGUCUUGAGUUAGAAUAGUUCACUCUAAAGGAGAGUCCUUGUUUGAACGCAUGUGUACUUAUGAGGCGUGAAAGUAUUGUAGCAACUCC
rnacentral:lncRNA from 1 species